AGGAGUGAUAAUAUAAUCUUUCUACAAAGGAAGAGAAGCUCCAAGAUUUCAAAAUUUCUGAAGGGAGCUGCUGACAGAAAUGCAGGAAACACAGAUUAUGAUGGCCGUGCAGCAGAGGAGCGCAGAGUCUCCUGUCGGACAACAUCUCUAAGUCGCUAUGAACCAUGUGACUAGAUGCUAUGUACCCAGCCUCAACCAUUCAUCAGAAGGACUGUGAAAGCGGGAACUCUUUGAACCAGCAGUGGCAGUUAUAGUGGAUAGUGGAUAGUAGUGGAUGAUGAGGGACUGACAUUAACCUGCCAAAAAAGGUUUCUCUGUGACAUCGCCGCGAAACCCCCUUUUUGGUUCUUUCUGUCACCUUUUUUUAAGAGUGUAGAUGAGUGUGCAACUGACCAAUAACAACUGAGUAUUCCAGCAAGCUGUUUAUUAAUAUUGUGUAGAAGUGUACCAUAUGGGGUGAAGAUCAAGACAACCAAACCAAAGGUGGACUGUAACCUACUGGACUAUAUGAUAGACUUCAUACUGACCACUACUGCCAUGUAUGCAGCAUGAGACGUUUUUGAAAAGAGGGGCAUUUCCUUCACCAAGUAAAAGUGUGGAGGAUUCAUCUGGCCUUCAUCGGGCCUCAU